AGGCCAUCGCACUUCAGGACCAGUUACUUCGACAGCCAGGGUUUCAGGCGCCCACAGCUUUUUGAUAUUCCCCCAAAGAGCCUGAGGAACCUGCACAAAUGUGUAUAUAUGUGUUU